GAGGAGGGAGGGUGGGGGGGUUGCAGGGUUAAGAGUCCGCCCUGUUAUCUUUGUGUAAAAAGGUCACACAGGUCUGGCGGAAGAAGCAAAAGCAACAACCAUCUUCUUACUGCCAUCCAGAGCACACAUAGCUGAGCUGGGCAAACCCACACAAGUGCACAGGCAUCACAUCGUUCACUCAUAUCUGUGCACACAGGUCGAAUGAUGAAGGAUGCAUUGUCAGGAGAAGCUGGAAACCCCCCAGAUAUGUUUUCCUUCUCGCGAUCCCUGCAUAUGAGGUCCAUUGUUUUUGUAGCGCACACAGUUUGUGCACAAGCUUUUUCUCAGAAUAAAUUGUACUGAUUUAUCAGAUGUUUGACUUAUGGUUUUUGCACAUAUUGUGUGAAUGUUUUUGCUCAUGUGAAAAGCCACAAAGGAUGAUAUUUCAUUUUGCAACUCUGACGUAUCACAAAGAAAUAAAUUCUGAAGCUUUACAGGUGAAUGCUCUUACAAAUAACACACACACUUAGACCUUGUAUUAGACUGAAAGACGAACUAUCUUUCAUGUCAAACACCACAUUUAAAAUAUAUCUGUACUUACAAAGACUGUUAAACUAUCAGCUAUUUCUGCAUCCCUCCAGUCUCACAAUCACAGAAAGAGUAUCUCAUGAACCUCUAUUUUUCAAUUCUUUGUCAGUAUCUGAUAGCAAACAUAUUUGCCUUGCACAUUCAUAAACAUGCACCUUCAUGGACACUGAUAACACACAGCUUUAACGCUCAGAGCAGAGCUCAUACUGGGAACUCAUGUUAUAUUGCAGCAGCAAGGGACCUGAUUGUUUGAGGCCAUUAAAAUGAUAAAUGAAAGCACACUGCAGGAGAUUAAGGAAAUAUGUAGUAUUAGUGGUAGUAGCAGGAGAAAUAAUAACCAACAGGGACAUAUUCCAUACAAACUAAACAGCCUCUUACAAUCACACCUAUGAUGCGAAAAGCCACCAUAUGCUGUUUAUACUCUGCUAUCGUUUAUCAAGAGGACAUGAAUCCUUCUUUUUCAAGUGCAAAUGAGGUGUGUUCGUCUGAUUCUCUAACAGAUUCCCCCUUCAUAGCCUCCGCAGUAAAUGAGCAACAAGAUUGGCUAUUUCUUCACUUGAAUUUUAGUGCUUGGGUUGUCUGGGAAAGAGCAGGACAACAGCAGGAAAGCUGAGUCAAUAUCCGACACUCACAAAGAAAUGUCUGUGUUUACAGUAAAUUCAGUCAGUGAAAAGUAAGUAAGCAAUUAGGAAACAUGUUUGGAUACUUAUUUUAGAUCAUGUCAUGUACUCAAAGCUGAAUGUAAACCAGGAUAAACAGGAAGAUGUACAUUUUCUGUAGAAGUAUUGUUUAAGAUCGAGAAAGUCUACAACCAGGACUUAGUGGGUAAAGGAAGAAAAUGGAAAUGAGCUGUAAUCAAUGUUAACACCAGUGUGAGUGCAUAUCGUGUUUUUGUCAAGUAUAGUAAAGUGGAAUAGAUCAGUGUUUCUCUUUAAAUUACUGAGAUCUUUCUGACUCUGUUAUGCUAUCAGUAGGCUACUUCUCUGUCCACUCUCCUAUCCUCUCAAACUGAGGGUUAACAAUAGUCUCAAUCUCAAAGGCACGGGCAGAAUUGUAAACCUCUCUUCUGCCAAAUUUUGGGGCAGGGGUCUAGAAAAUAUGUGUCUUUAAAUCUAUUUAUUUUCACUGAUGUUUUACUGCUCCAUAAAUCUGAGCCAAGUUUUUUCUUUUAGUUUUCUUUAUGAGCCUCCAUGUGUUGAUUGUAUUCACUUAACUGUUGUUGACUAUUAUUAGUAUUACCUUUUUUUUUUCUUUUCUACCAUUGUCUUUAAAGGUCCUGUGAGGAACUUUCAGUUUGUGUCUAUUUUGGUUCCCCCUGUGGACAAAGCAGUCUUUGCAUAUUUUGUUCUCCUCGUGCUAAAGUACUGUUUGAGACAAACAAUAUCAUCCUGCUGACUUUUGACAAUCAAAUGUGUCAUUUAUUUUGAAUAUUUCACAUAGAAACUGUAAACAAAAUAAAAAUCCGUCUGUUUCUGCUUGUAUGACACCAACCCCUUUGUACUGACCUCAGUCAUUAAAAAUGAUGAUAAACCAAGUGUCGGUCUUGUCCCUGGUGGUCUUGUUUGCUCUUGGAUACCAUGAAAAAACAACAGUAUGCAUUUCAAUCUGGUUUAUAAGCAUCAACAAAAUUCCUCAUAGAGCUUUAAAUGAAAAUCAUAACAGUAAAGAAUUGGCUCACUGUGGUAAUUGACAAAAGAAGUCAUAAAUAAUAAAUGUUGGAGAUUAAAUUUUUAAAUCUGACCAAUUCUCUCAGCGUGAAGGUCCAUACACACCGGGCAAUAGGUGGAGUGACGUGAAUUAGUGACGCGAUCUAUUUUUUCUGUACACACCAGGUGCGGCACUAUUAUGCGGAUAAAAUCUGCCAAGCAAAUAAAGUUUGGCUCUUCUAAAAUAUAUAUCUAUAAAACCAUAUACUAACGUUUACUGGACUUUGAAAAAGUUGCCCCGAGCUGGUUAGUUAGCUAGCUUAGCUUCAUUUUAUGCUAGUUAACUAACCACAUCUAUGUUUGAGGAUUAAUAUAACAUCAAUAUACUCACCAGGUAAGUUGAGGUCUUCCUUUAUUUCCUGCCCUAUAUUUUCUUCGAGGAGAGUGUCGUGGAAUAUUUUAAGGGACGCCAUCGACAUACCAACAUCAUUUGGUCAGAGGUCUGGCUGUUCGCCUUCUUACCUCCAUAAAAAUUAGACACAAGAGCGAAUAAAUAACAGUUGCUUUUCCGGGUGUGUAAGGUCGCAUUGAGUUCAAUAUAUAUAUAUAUAUAUAUAUUACUUUUAAUUGGAUUUUUCAGUCACGUGCAACAAUAUUUCACAGAUACAAUGUAUACAAUAGUAGAAGAAUCUUGUAGAAGGUUAGCAAUUAAUGGUACUACAUAAUGUAUGUAGAAAGCUGAGCUGGAGUGGCUUCCACAAUGAACCAUAAUUAACCUAAUCCCUUCCCACCACUGUAAGACAAAUAGGUACUUCAAUAGGUUUUUAAACAAAAGCGAAUUAUUCGUCUCGAGAAUUCAGUCCCAGAGCUGUACGGAGCUGGAGCUGCCGCUUUUAAUUACAAAAACAAAAAUACUUGAUUUUUAGUGAUGGGGCAGUGUUGCAAGGUUCUAAGUAAAGGUAAGACCAAGCACUAAUACUGACAUGAUAUUUUACUGUUAACCGAUGAGCCACUGACUCACCAGUCAAAGAAUAUUUGGAAAAGUUGGAGUCAGGCUUGCACCUGCAGGGAAAACACAUACUGAUGACUGAAAGCACUUUGAUAAUCACAUAAACUAAACAUGUUUUAAUAUGUCUUUGUUAUUUGACUGAAACCGGUGUCUCAGGCCAGUGUCAUUGAUCUUCUUUGCCGUUUUGAAGGCCCAGUGGGAAAUGAGAUCUAGAUUUGUACAUCUUGAUGAAGUGCUGACGUCCAUCAUCCACCUGUGACUGCAGAGCUCUGCUCUAUGUGCACGUCUGAGUGAGUGCAAAGCUACUUAUUCAGCGUUGUUGAGUAUAUUGUUGUGAGAGUGGGGUACACUCUGCUGACAACGGGGAUUUUCUCAUUUUACUCAGUUAACAUAAAAUAUUUUUAUGCUUACGGAGGUCCAAGUUCCCCGACUCUGUUAAAUCAUUCAUCCUUUGUCGUCUUUGUUAAAACCUACUUAUGCUCUUUUGGUACAAAAACAUACUUAACAUACUUUAAUUUUCUGACCUUUUUAAUACAGUCUGCUGUCCUGUUACAGCUGUAUCCUCUGCUCUGGUCAUUCCUUAAUCAGAAUGUAAAGCUCGGGGCAAACACAGCCAGGUCUCAGAGGAACGCUGUAGAGCUUACUGAUUGUGCACAGCUGAGAAUCAAUAAAACAUGUCAAUAAUGAUUCGAUCCUUUACAGCAGUCAAACGCUUUGCCAUCCAAUUACAAAGGUGUUUGGGUCACUUUAAAGAGUAAAUGACCUUAGCUUGAUUGUACUAGAUUAUGACAAAAGUCAAUACUGAACUUAAUACACCUGUGCAAUCACAUUUCUUAAUUGUGUCCUUGUUUUUAUUACAGUUUCACAAAUAAAGGUGGACAGUACAGUCGAAUGUUCAGUUACAGCAAAGGACAUGUCUUUUUCAACUGUUUUAGAUUUCAAACAAUCUCGGAGAAUAGUGUACAAGAACGGGUAGAGUCUAUCAUUACAGAAGCUGAAAACGGCCAUGGAUUUGUCUUUUUUUUAAUGCACUGUUAUCUCAUGAUAACGUCUUAUUUUCUCGUUAUCUCAACAUAACGAAAUUUGUUUUCUCAAAUGAUUUAUUUUCAUUAUCUCAACAUGACAAAGACCCUUUUCUCAUGAUAACAGAAAUGGCGUUUUAGCUGACUUCAACUGUAACUUUUAAAAAUGCCCUCCAGAUUAGGAUAUUUCUGAAACGCCGCAGCCACCGAUGUCAACAGCAAUUUAGGGUUUUCAAUGAAAACGCUGACAUUAUGCUCCAGUUUGCGCAAGCACAUCACACCUUCAAAGCGGGAACAAUAACUGCCAUGCGUGAAUUAUUGAAAGUGUAAUGUGCGUGCUUAUAAAGGUAUUAAUUUGUCUACAGGGACCCCAGAGCUAACACCCAUUUUUUGUAUUUUCUUUGAAUUAAAUGUCUACGCUGCAGGUAUCUGAAGCAAUCACAGGCUGAUCAGUUGUAUUCAUGCGACGGCUUUUAUUAUGAAUGAAUUUUAUGGCAUUGCACCAAUUGCUGUGGAGAAAGAACAAUGCGUGCAUUAAUGGGGCAGAAAACAACAUUUGUUUUUCAGUGCUCUGCUUCACUGUUAUUGUGAUGCCACAUUUCUGUAGUAGCAGGGGGGAAUAAAAACAGUCAGUCCAGAUCUUAUUGGCUGGUGGGGCAGGUGUUAUGGAUUGUCUCAGCUCUGGGAACGAGCCGCUGACCCCUUUCCCUGAUCUCUUUCCUGUUUGGUGUGGUGUGUGCAGCCGAGGUAAGGGGAGAUAGAGUGGGUUUGUUCCCUGCCACUACAGCAUGUUUUUCUGCAUUCACUCUCUCUCCUCUUGUCGAGUCGUGUUCCAGGUGGGGUGACACAGCGCAGCACGCUACUACAGGCAGUCCAGGAAAUUUGUGUCCUCCGUCCAAAAACAUGUUUUGACCGUCUGUUCCACAUCUGGAGGGAUAUUUACUCCUAAAGCUAUUCUUUCUCUGCAGCCGCAUUACACAAUACCAUUGACAGGAUCUAUUUGCACACCCUGCGAAAGCAAAACAUAUUUUGUUGAAAUGAAACAAAAUAAAAAGUCAUAUGUAGCGAUUGUGUGUACAAUUCUCCUGAGAGGCGAUUUGGCACUGCCUGAAGACCAGUGGAGCUAUCUUUAGUCGUGCAUUUCCAAAACAAAAGACUACUUUAUGGCAGCUAUAAAUGUGCUAGACUGACACAUUAAAAAGUGUCUUGGCUUCAGUCCUCCAUAAUGGUUCUUACAGUAUUACACUGUAACAAGGGGAAGAAAAACAACUGAGUCACCGCCAUUUAAUUGUCUUGCUGGUGUUGAAGCAUAUUGCAGAACGCAUUACUCAGCAUCCUAUUUACUCAGAUAAACAGUUUAAUUACUGCAGCAAACACAAACACUCCCAUCUCCAAC